rnacentral:rRNA from 1 species
AACCCCUGUGCACAUACCUUAAUGUUGCCUCGGCGGAUCAGCCCGCGCCCCGUAAAACGGGACGGCCCGCCAGAGGACCCAAACUCUAAUGUUUCUUAUUGUAACUUCUGAGUAAAACAAACAAAUAAAUCAAAACUUUCAACAACGGAUCUCUUGGUUCUGGCAUCGAUGAAGAACGCAGCAAAAUGCGAUAAGUAAUGUGAAUUGCAGAAUUCAGUGAAUCAUCGAAUCUUUGAACGCACAUUGCGCCCGCUGGUAUUCCGGCGGGCAUGCCUGUUCGAGCGUCAUUUCAACCCUCAAGCCCCCGGGUUUGGUGUUGGGGAUCGGCUCUGCCUUCUGGCGGCGCCGCCCCCGAAAUACAUUGGCGGUCUCGCUGCAGCCUCCAUUGCGUAGUAGCUAACACCUCGCAACUGGAACGCGGCGCGGCCAUGCCGUAAAACCCCAACUUCUGAAUGUUGACCUCGGAUCAGGUAGGAAUACCCGCUGAACUUAAGCAUAUCA